AGGAAGUACUUCCCAAACAAAACCUAUUUACUUUGGCGGCAUUUUAUCUUAAAAGAGGAACUUGUCCUUUAAUCGACACCCCCCGUUAAAUUUCACUUAUUUUUAUAAUUUAUAUACCGCCGUCUUAAGAAUUAAUCUUAAUAUAUUUCUCUCAAAAACAUAAUAAAAAAUCAGGUCAAGGUGUAAUUUACAUUUAAGUAAAGAUGAGUUACAAUAAAAUUUAUUUAAGGAUAAAAAUAAAAAAAAUUUUUUUGAAAAAGGAUUUUUAAGUAAUUCAUAAAAUAAUCAUUUUAAAUGAAUAAGAUAAUAAAUGUGC
rnacentral:rRNA from 1 species